CCGCACCGCUAAGUGACUGGACUUCCCCUCACUGUGGGCUUUCAGUCUCAUUCCGGUGCCAGACGAACCUCUGGUUGCAGAAGGGUUGCGCUAGACCACUGGCCCCCCCCUUUCGAAGCCAGAGAACAAGC